rnacentral:SRP_RNA from 10 species
GCCAGGUAUGGUUGCACUCUCCUGUAGUCUCAGCUACUCAGGAGGCUGAGGCAGGAGGAUUGCUUAAGCCUAGGUGUACUGGGCUGCAAUGUGCUAUGUCAAGUGGGUAUCUGCACAAAGUUUGGAAUCAAUCUGAUGAACUCCUGGGAGCCAGGAGACCACUAGGUUGCCUAAGAAGUGGUGAGCUAGCCAAGGUCAGAAAAAAAGCAGGUCAAAAUUUCAGUGCUGAUCAGCUGCAGGAUUGCACCUGUAUAUAGUCACUGUCCUCCAGCUUAGGCAACAUAGGGAGACCCUAUCU